UACGUAGGGGGCUAGCGUUGUCCGGAAUCAUUGGGCGUAAAGAGCGUGUAGGCGGUCCGGUAAGUCCGCUGUGAAAGUCGGGGGCUCAACCCUCGAAUGCCGGUGGAUACUGUCGGGCUAGAGUGCGGAAGAGGCGAGUGGAAUUCCUGGUGUAGCGGUGAAAUGCGCAGAUAUCAGGAGGAACACCGGUGGCGAAGGCGGGUCUCUGGGCAGUAACUGACGCUGAGAAGCGAAAGCGUGGGGAGCGAACAGG
rnacentral:rRNA from 1 species